GGGUUUAUAUACUGGUUCCCAGUUUUGAUCUGUAGGUUGCAUCUCAAAGAGACAUAAAUUGGGAAUGUUACGAGUAAAUAUACAUGUGAAUUUUGUUUAUAUUGAAAUCUGCGGUAACCCUACAGUCGAGGUAGGGGUAGUUAAGAAAUGUAGUGUUAGUUUAAACUCUUAGAACUUCGUGGCAUAUAAACGUUGAAAAUAUGCCGCACAGCCCUAUAUUUUGAUCUUUGAAAAAAAUAGUAGUGCAUAUGAACUUUCCAUUCUAGGAUUAAUUUUUUUUCAAAACUUCAUAGUAAAA
rnacentral:lncRNA from 1 species